rnacentral:rRNA from 1 species
AGAGUUUGAUCCUGGCUCAGGAUGAACGCUAGCGGCAGGCCUAACACAUGCAAGUCGAGGGGUAACAGAGAGAAGCUUGCUUUUCUGCUGACGACCGGCGCACGGGUGCGUAACGCGUAUACAAUCUGCCUUAUACAGAGGGAUAGCCUUUAGAAAUGAAGAUUAAUACCUUAUAGUCUAUUUUUAUAGCAUUAUAUAAAUAGUAAAGCUUCGGUGGUAUAAGAUGAGUAUGCGUCCUAUUAGUUAGUUGGUAAGGUAACGGCUUACCAAGACAACGAUAGGUAGGGGCCCUGAGAGGGGGAUCCCCCACACUGGUACUGAGACACGGACCAGACUCCUACGGGAGGCAGCAGUGAGGAAUAUUGGACAAUGGAGGCAACUCUGAUCCAGCCAUGCCGCGUGCAGGAUGACGGCCCUAUGGGUUGUAAACUGCUUUUAUAUAGGAAGAAACCUUUUCACGUGUGAGAAGCUGACGGUACUAUAAGAAUAAGGACCGGCUAACUCCGUGCCAGCAGCCGCGGUAAUAAGGGCGAAUUC